UACAGAGGUCUCAAGCGUUGUUCGGAUUCAUUGGGCGUAAAGGGCGAGUAGGCGGCGCGCUAAGUCGGGUGUGAAAUCUCGGGGCUUAACUCCGAAACUGCAUUCGAUACUGCCGUGCUUGAGGACUGGAGAGGAGACUGGAAUUUACGGUGUAGCGGUGAAAUGCGUAGAUAUCGUAAGGAAGACCAGUGGCGAAGGCGGGUCUCUGGACAGUUCCUGACGCUGAGGCACGAAGGUCAGGGGAGCAAACGGG
rnacentral:rRNA from 1 species